AUUAAUUGAAAUUGGAUGAAGCUAUUAUGGAAUUUAUGCAACCCAAAUAUAAUGUUAAUGGCUGCUGAGUUAACGUUUGAUAUGCUAUGUAUGAAAAAAUAGGUGUACACUGCGUACAUGUGUCCAGCCUGCGCGCAAAAUAUUCAAAUGACGCAACUAGUAGAACGAAAAGCUAUUAUAAAUCUCAGACAUACAUGCAGGGUAGUGGCAUUGCAACUUUAUUAUUUUUCCAAGGUCUCUGUGAGACGUUCAGUUAUUCAGCAUGAACAAACAGUGCGUGUAAAAAGAAGGCGCCACUUUUUGGGUGUACUGUUUGUCCGUGCUGUAUGGCUGGACGUGUUUCAGGUAUCUUGGGAUAUCUAAUAACGUUGCUGUUUAACAAUGCUGUUUCUAUAAAGAACAGCUCGCUAUUGCUAUAUGCC